AAAUUAAGAAUUAAAUAUACCAGACAUGAUAGUCAAAUUAUUUUUUCCACACACAACAAGCAGCUCCUUUUGUCUGAAAUAAAUUCUGUUAGGGCAGUUAAGUUAGUGAGAUUGGGUUUGGUCCUCCAGAUCAAAUUAAAUAUGAAAGUGUCC